rnacentral:rRNA from 1 species
UACGUAGGGGGCAAGCGUUGUCCGGAUUUAUUGGGCGUAAAGAGCGUGUAGGCGGCUAGGUAGGUCCGUUGUGAAAACUCGAGGCUCAACCUCGAGACGCCGAUGGAAACCAUCUAGCUAGAGUCCGGAAGAGGAGAGUGGAAUUCCUGGUGUAGCGGUGAAAUGCGCAGAUAUCAGGAAGAACACCCGUGGCUAAGGCGGCUCUCUAGUACGGUACUGACGCUGAGACGCGAAAGCGUGGGGAGCAAACAGG